UACGGAGGGAGCUAGCGUUGUUCGGAAUUACUGGGCGUAAAGCGCACGUAGGCGGCUUUGUAAGUUAGAGGUGAAAGCCCGGGGCUCAACCCCGGAAUUGCCUUUAAGACUGCAUCGCUUGAAUCCAGGAGAGGUGAGUGGAAUUCCGAGUGUAGAGGUGGAAUGCGCAGAUAUCAGGAGGAACACCAAUAGCGAAGGCAGCUCGCUGGGACGUUACUGACACUGAGGCGCGAAAGCGUGGGGAGCAAACAGG
rnacentral:rRNA from 1 species